rnacentral:rRNA from 1 species
GUGUCAGCAGCCGCGGUAAUACAGAGGGUGCAAGCGUUGUUCGGAAUUAUUGGGCGUAAAGCGCGUGUAGGCGGCUUGGCAAGUCAGAUGUGAAAGCCCUCGGCUUAACCGAGGAAGUGCGUCUGAAACUGCUGAGCUUGAGUCUCGGAGAGGAUGGCGGAAUUCCGCAAGUAGAGGUGAAAUUCGUAGAUAUGCGGAGGAACACCGGUGGCGAAGGCGGCCAUCUGGACGAGUACUGACGCUGAGACGCGAAAGCGUGGGGAGCAAACAGGAUUAGAUACCCUGGUAGUCC